GNGAGAAAGAUUUAUCGCCGAAGGAUUGGCCCGCGUCUGAUUAGCUAGUUGGUGAGGUAAUGGCUCACCAAGGCGACGAUCAGUAGCUGGUCUGAGAGGAUGAUCAGCCACAUUGGGACUGAGACACGGCCCAAACUCCUACGGGAGGCAGCAGUGGGGAAUAUUGGACAAUGGGCGCAAGCCUGAUCCAGCCAUGCCGCGUGAGUGAUGAAGGCCUUAGGGUUGUAAAGCUCUUUUACCCGGGAAGAUAAUGACUGUACCGGGAGAAUAAGCCCCGGCUAACUUCGUGCCAGCAGCCGCGGUAAUACGAAGGGGGCUAGCGUUGUUCGGAUUUACUGGGCGUAAAGCGCACGUAGGCGGAUCUUUAAGUCAGAGGUGAAAUCCCAAGGCUCAACCUUGGAACUGCCUUUGAUACUGGGGAUCUUGAGUUCGGAAGAAGUGAGUGGAACUGCGAGUGUAAAGGUGAAAUUCGUAGAUAUUCGCAAGAACACCAGUGGCGAA
rnacentral:rRNA from 1 species